rnacentral:rRNA from 1 species
UACGUAGGGCGCAAGCGUUGUCCGGAAUUAUUGGGCGUAAAGAGCUCGUAGGCGGCUUGUCACGUCGGUUGUGAAAGACCGGGGCUUAACUCCGGUUCUGCAUUCGAUACGGGCUAGCUAGAGUGUGGUAGGGGAGAUCGGAAUUCCUGGUGUAGCGGUGAAAUGCGCAGAUAUCAGGAGGAACACCGAUGGCGAAGGCAGGUCUCUGGGCAUUAACUGACGCUGAGGAGCGAAAGCAUGGGGAGCGAACAGG